CCUACGGGAGGCAGCAGUGAGGAAUAUUGGUCAAUGGACGAGAGUCUGAACCAGCCAAGUAGCGUGAAGGAUGACUGCCCUAUGGGUUGUAAACUUCUUUUAUCUGGGAGUAAAAUGUUCCACGUUUGGGCUUUUAUAUGUACCAUAUGAAUAAGGAUCGGCUAAAUCCGUGCAAGAAGCCGCGGUAAUACGGAGGAUCCGAGCGUUAUCCGGAUUUAUUGGGUUUAAAGGGAGCGUAGGUGGAUUGUUAAGUAAGUUGUGAAAGUUUGCGGCUUAACCGUAAAAUUGCAGUUGACACUGGCAGUCUUGAGUACAGUAGAGGUGGGCGGAAUGCGUGGUGUAGCGGUGAAAUGCUUAGAUAUCACGAAGAACCCCGAUUGCGAAGGCAGUUCACUGGACUGCAACUGACACUGAGGCUCGAAAGUGUGGGUAUCAAACAGGAUUAGAUACCCUUGUAGUC
rnacentral:rRNA from 1 species